UACGGAGGGGACUAGCGUUGUUCGGAAUUAUUGGGCGUAAAGCGCGUGUAGGCGGCUUUGCAAGUCGGGUGUGAAAGCCCUCAGCUCAACUGAGGAAGUGCGCCCGAAACUGCAGAGCUUGAGUGCCGGAGAGGGUGGCGGAAUUCCCCAAGUAGAGGUGAAAUUCGUAGAUAUGGGGGAGGAACACCGGUGGCGAAGGCGGC
rnacentral:rRNA from 1 species